AGGCUUGACCUUCUUGUUGAAUGCUUUUUCACUCUCUGCUGAUAUAACUUGACCAUGACACAUGGCAGUUGAUCUCUUCUUUUCGAUCGAAUUCAGCAUCAGUCAACUUGGGACUUUGAGGGUGCUAUCUUUCUUUGUUUUUUCUUUUUUUGAUUUUGCUUUUGAUUUUGCUUUCUUUUGAUUUCUUUUGAUUUCUUUUGAUUUCUUUUGAUUUUGCACCCUCCUCUUUC
rnacentral:lncRNA from 1 species